CUUUACUGCAACUUCGCAGUGGCGCCAGGAAGGGACUGUGUAGGAUAGGUGGGAGGCUUUGAAGCCGGGGCGCUAGCCUUGGUGGAGCCAACCUUGAAAUACCACCCUGUGCCUUUCUGGCGUCUAACCGCAUCCCGUUAUCCGGGAUCGGGACCCUGCGUGGUGGGCAGUUUGACUGGGGCGGUCGCCUCCCAAAUGGUAACGGAGGCGCGCGAUGGUGGGCUCAGGCCGGUCGGACAUCGGCUGUUGAGUGCAAAGGCACAAGCCCGCCUGACUGCGAGCGCGACAGCGCGAGCAGAGACGAAAGUCGGCCUUAGUGAUCCGGUGGUCCCGCGUGGAAGGGCCAUCGCUCAACGGAUAAAAGGUA
rnacentral:rRNA from 1 species